UCAGUGUGGACUUAGGUUACAUAAGAUGGAGAUCCAUUUGCCUAGUUUGCCAUUGAUGAAAAUCUUCUCCUAUCUGGAUGCCUACAGUUUGCUACAGGUUGCCCAAGUGAACAAGAACUGGAAUGCACUUGCAAGCAGUGAUGUCCUGUGGAGGAAGCUGUGUCACAAAAGAUGGCUCUACUGUGACAUGGUCACCCUACAGCUCCAGGGCACAGAGACGUGGAAGCAGUUCUUCAUUUACCGAACAUGGCAAGAACAUGCCAAGUCCCGGGCAAAGCCAGAAGAUUUCAUUUACAAGGAAAUUCCUGUGGAGUUUGAAUAUUGGGCACAUCCAUGUUAUAUCUCAAUGCGUGGCUUAACAAGAAAUGGACAAGGGAAGUCUGCUGUCUGGUGACUUCCAUGAACAGGAUUUCUACCUGGGAUAUUCAGGAGGUGAGUCUGGUUGACAAGUAG